rnacentral:rRNA from 1 species
UUGAACGCUGGCGGCAUGCCUUACACAUGCAAGUCGAACGGCAGCGCGGGAGCAAUCCUGGCGGCGAGUGGCGAACGGGUGAGUAAUAUAUCGGAACGUGCCCUGGAGUGGGGGAUAACUAGUCGAAAGACUAGCUAAUACCGCAUACGAUCUAAGGAUGAAAGUGGGGGAUCGCAAGACCUCAUGCUCCUGGAGCGGCCGAUAUCUGAUUAGCUAGUUGGUGGGGUAAAAGCUCACCAAGGCGACGAUCAGUAGCUGGUCUGAGAGGACGACCAGCCACACUGGGACUGAGACACGGCCCAGACUCCUACGGGAGGCAGCAGUGGGGAAUUUUGGACAAUGGGGGCAACCCUGAUCCAGCAAUGCCGCGUGUGUGAAGAAGGCCUUCGGGUUGUAAAGCACUUUUGUCAGGAAAGAAAUCGCUCUGGCUAAUAUCCGGAGUGGAUGACGGUACCUGAAGAAUAAGCACCGGCUAACUACGU